ACACAUCACCGCCUACUCGCCGCCUUGGAGCCACCCCUGCAAGGCUGCUACGUCGCCAGCCCACGCACGCCCCCUUCCGCUCGCCCUGACGCCUGCACCCACGAGACCGAUCCAGGGAUUCGUUGCUCAUGCCGGGAACCUCUUAACCAGGAGUCUGGAAUUAGGCGGGAAGGAUCCAAUCCACCUCUCGCCACUGUGGAUUGACGCAUAGGACAUGGGAUGGCUCUGGUCUCCAUCAGCGAAGAAAAUCAGGAAAGCUCUUCUCGAUGUUCCAAGGAACUUACUAAAGACACCAGGGAAGAUAAUAUUUGAGCCGAGGAUGUGAGAUGUUAUUUAUGGAUGAGUGACCGGAAUGCCAUUCUGCGAUAUGAUCAUGAAUAAGGGUGCUAGCAUCCGAAGAAGUGAACAGUUAGCUGGAUCCGAAGAAGAGGUACAUCACGCCGUAUGGUGCUCCUCCUAUCACAGCUCUUAUCUAGACAGGUAAGUGUUUUGGAAUUGGCAAAAUGUCGAUAUUCUGUCUCAGUUACACUGCAUUAAAAAUAUUCUGCUGCAGAGUAUAUAUUCUCAAAUAAAAUUGCGUUUUGGUUCACCACUCCUGAAGUGCCUGCGGAUGAAAUCAGUCUCAUAUUGAUAAUAGUGAAUAGCUUCCUCCCUCACAUGGUUGCUACACUUUCAACUUGAUUGCAUCUUUUGUUUACAUUCCUUCUUGGACUACCUUUGAUGUGAGAUUUAUUGAGCAGAUAAAAAUUUGCUGAAGUAAAUAUAUGGAGAUAUAUUUUAUUCUGGUCUCUAUUUUCAAUUUAGAAUUCAAAUGCAAAUUCAUGGAAACUUUCGUAUGCUUCGAAAGAGUGGUAUGAAAACAAAUUCACACCUUAUGCAGUGGUUUCCUUGAGACCAAAGUUAUUGAUUGUGCCCUGAGAAUAUGGGGACCUACUACGAGGGAUGUGAUACCACAUGUAGAGAGUGAUGAUGAUUUUUAAGAGCUUUCAUUUGGAUAAUCUACAGGACAAGGAGAGUACAAUGGUAGGAGUUCAAUACUUUAUAGCAAGAAACCUCUGUUUAUCCUAUUAAGAUGUUGUUCCAUUACGAAAUUUUGGUAAAAAUUCAACCAGAAAACAUCAAAUGUAUACUAUUUCAUCUAGCCUCUGUGAAAUGAGAAUCUGAAGUUCGAUCUUCUAACAUGACCUUUGUUUCGUACAUGCACUAUUUAUUGACAUGCCAAAGCGGAUGAGAUAUUCAGGCUAUAGGUUUCCUGUCAUAAAAGGAUAUUUUGCUAUCCAUAUCCUUAUUGUGCAUCUGUUUUUCUUAAUUGUUUGGUAAGUACUAUAUUGCAAAAAGAAUUUGAUUUUGUAGCAUGCACGAGUUUUACUAUGGAUAUGUAGAAAUAUAUAUCUGUUGUAACUUUUCAUCUUUCUAGGACAAUAUGCUUGUAUAGUUGUAUUGAUCAUUUUCUGUCUUCUCCCUAUUUCCCACAUGGAAUGCAAUAUAAGAGAUCUUGAAUUAUCUUGAAAUAAGAAAUGACUGCUGCAAUUAACUUUUGUCGAAGCAUAUCUGUUGACGUUUGCCUCUUCUCCCUUUUAGGGGUUGUGAUCUACACCAUGUAUGAAAAAGUAUGGUAAGCAGUCAAGCAUGGAUGUGGAUACUACAUUAGCAGGACACCAAAGAAUUAUAGAGAACAUGCGAAGAUGUGGUGCAAUAUGUUCCAUCAUACUGUCUUUCACCAAUUGGCAUGCUUGUUUUUACCAAUACAUUGAAAGUGUAGAUGUCAUAUGAAAGGGAAGCAACAAGGCUGAAUAACCUAAUUGUAAUUAGGGUCGACAACGUCAAAAAUUUGGACAAAGCUGAAAUUAAUCGAUGCUGAGUUUGUCAAAGCAUGGUUGAAAGUUGUAAUGUUAUUUUGUAACUACGUGCAUGUAUUUAGUUAAAAUUUAUAUA